rnacentral:pre_miRNA from 2 species
GAUUUCAACUGAAAAAGUCAUCAACAUUAAAGUUGUAUAACUCAUCAAUAUCUAUAACUUUUAUUUUGGUCAUUUCUUCAUGUGAUAAAGUGAUCUGUAACAUUGUUCACAAAAUGUACAUAUCUCUUGUAUAAAAUAUAGGAGAGACAUGUAAAUUUUAAGAACAAUGUUACUGUCGCUUUAUCCGAUGAAAAAAUAACCAAAAUAAAAGUUAUAGAUAUUGAUGAGUUAUACAAACUUUGAUGUUGAUGACUUUUUCAGUUGAAGUC